GACCUUAAAAGUGAUAGUUAGAUGCCAUUUUUUUUUAGUUACUUAUCACUUAAAAGGUUGGGUUGUUAUUGUUACCCUAGACACUUUUUUCUAUGUUUCAGUUCUAAUUGUAUCUUGAACAUUAGGUGUUGUGUUAUAUAGAAAUAUGGAAGCUUUACUCACUAAAUACCUAUGUGAACAUUUUAUUUGAUUCUGAGUUAAUUUUGAUUCUGAGUUAUAUUCAUUUUGGUGGUUCAAAUGUCUACCGUGCUACACUUGGAUUUGUACCUCAGUGGGGAUAGAUGGAAGGUUCAAAUGUUGGAUUUACUCUUAGAUAGAGAAGGCAAUUAUUGGGUUUUCCUCAUUCUCAUUUUAUACUUUUGUAAUAAUAGAGGAAUUAUUUUUCCUUUUAAUUUUCUAAAAUCUCUUGUGCCCUACAAUUAGAGCAUUUGAUGCUAACAAGUGAUCCUUACUUUUAUUAGAGAAAAUUAACUGGGAGUAUUUUACUUGAAAGUAAACAACCAUAUUUCUAUAAGGUUUUUCGACUGUUGAAACUGUAUUCUUAUAUAUUUUCAUAGAAAUGGUCUUCAUUUAAAGGACAUCUAGUUUGUUUUCAGGCAAACUAUAUUCUUAUAUAUUUUUGUUCUAUAAAGGUCAUCUAACAUUAUUUUUGGUAUUUAUAUCAGCAUCAUAUUUGAUCUUUAAUGCAAUACUAGCCAUAAUCCUCAUCCCCUAUUCACCUGAGGUGAAAUAUUCUUUGAAAUUUCUAUCUAGAUGAAAAUCUAGAAUUGUCCUAGUUGCUCUCAAAUUAAUGUAUUUUUUGUUUAUUAUUUUAACAAUGAAUUAGUUUAUUUCUUAUGAUUUCGUUUUGCUUUAUGUCACAUUUGUUCAUAAUGCAUAACUAGUUCUUUAUUGAAAGUUCUAACUGUUGUUUUGCUCGUAGCCCUGAAUCAUUGUAUGUGUUUUUAUAGUUUUUCGGCAAUAAUUCCAUCUAUUGCUUGUGAUCUUGGUUUCAUGAUUGAGAGGUAGAUCUAUGUUUUACCUAUAGGGAGGCAGUCUUCACAUUAGUCUCGUAGGAAGCAUAUCUUUCAUUAUUUUUGCUUUUAAGUGAUGUUACUGGCUUUAUCUUUUAUCAUAUUUUAACAAUUUUAGCAAUCUAGUGUUCUCUUUUUGUUAGUUGAAUUGAUUUUCAUAUCUUUCUUUUGUGUCGUAAGUUGUAGAUUUUUAUGUUCUUAUGCAAAGGAUGCUUAUGUUACCUACUUUCCAAUAUCAUUUGAUGGUUACAAAAUCUAAGUCCCCUUAAUUGAGUAAAGUGAGUUCAUAUUUGUGUUGAGAAGAUGCCAACACAAACAUAAACACAGGUUGAGGUAGGAGCAAUACACCAUGGGAACAUCACAAGAUUACUGGUAGUAAUAGACUUUUUGAAGAUCAUUCUGGUAUCAUGAUCUUUAAUCUAUGUAAUUUUAUUUUAUUUUAUUUUAUUUUAAUGAAUCAGAGAUGUUUUGAUAACAUUGAGUUGGUGAAAUUGGAAGCAUAGUUUGUACAUCUAUUUUUGAAAUUGUUAUAUGAUGUUUUGCUGAA